GGCUUACACCCUCGCCCUCUCUUCCAAUUCUGGAACAGAUGGCGGACCUGGCCCUCCCGGCUCUGCCUUUCUUUCGAAGGGCUCCGGGUUGGCUGAAGCACAGAGGCUUGAGCAUGGACCCCGUUUGCAGGGCAAUGGCUUGGUAGGUAGGCAUUCCCUACGCAGCCUGCCGUCGCCCGAGGGGACUUUGCUGGGGGCCCAGCAGGAAUUCGGAUGGUGACUUCACGUCACCCCGAAACUCUUCACCU
rnacentral:misc_RNA from 1 species